UUAGUUGAUAAAAAACCAAAACAAAGUUGUAUUGAAAUAAUAGCAUAUUGAUUAAAGAAAAAUACAUACGUGAUUGUGGAAAUGUUUAUUGUUUUUGACGUCGUGAAUGUGAUGAUUUUUCUGUACAAUUUUGUCAUAAUGGCAUUAGUGCUGAUUCAUAUCAUGCUGGUAUGAGUGAUUUAGCAAGAACACAAGUACAAACAAGAUGGAAAUUUGAUGAUGUUAAAAUUGUAUGUGUAACAAUUGUAUUUGGUAUGGGAGCAGAUAAUUUGUUAUUCAUGCUGCAUUAUCAAAUUAAGUUACUCUGAUGUUCAUAGUCAUCGUUAAAUGACAGAAUUAAAUAGACCACCACUAUUAGUUUUACAAACACAUAUGGAUCAUUUUAUGAAAAUAAAAUAGAUUGUCGUAGAACACAACAGCUUAAGUAUUUUGAAAUUCAUAUAACUUAUGUGGCUGAAGCAAUUAUAACAGUUGUUAGAGAUUUAUAAAUGUACCAGAAAAAAAUUCUCAAGAAUGGCUUGAUACUUUCAGAUAUAAAAAACCUUCAUCACAAAGGUUAGAAAAAUAUUUAUAAACUUUGGGUAAUGUCAAGACCUAAAAAUAACAAUUUUUGUGAUGCUAAUGAUGUAAAAAUUAUUUGUUUUGAAAAACUCAGAUGAUUCCUCAGUUUCUCCUAAAAAACUUGAAUUACUUUCAAGUACAAUUUAUGUUAUUGAUGACUCAAUAGAUCAGUCAGCUGUACUUGGUGGUGAAAUAAAAGUGACAGUGAAAAAGAAAAUUUAAUAUCACCAAUGGACA